rnacentral:rRNA from 1 species
GUACCGCCUGCCCUGUGGAACCCUAAACGGCCGCGGCAUUAAAACCGUGCAAAGGUAGCACAAUCACUUGUCCCUUAAAUGAGGACCCGUAUGAAAGGCACUAUGAGAGAAGACCUGUCUCCUAAGGCCUGCCAAUGAAAUUGAACUAUCAGUACAAAAGCUGAUAUAUAUAAGCAAGACAAAAAGACCCUGUGGAACUUAAUAAUCUGUUUACAAAACUUAAACAGUAAAUUUAGUUGGGACAACUUUAGAAAAAAUUAACUUCCUAACCCACCAAGACUAACUAGUCCAAAACUACUUCAAUGACCCAGUCACACUGAUUAACGAAAUAAGCUACCCCAGGGAUAACAGCGCCACCUUCUCAAAGAGUCCAUAUCAACAAGAAGAUCUACGACCUCGAUGUUGGAUCAGGGUACCCAGACGGUGCAGCAGCUGUCAAUGGUUCGUUUGUUCAACGACUAAUACCCU